GACGGAGGAGGCAAGCGUUAUCCGGAAUUAUUGGGCGUAAAGCGUCCGCAGGUGGCUUUUCAAGUCUGUUGUUAAAACCCAGGGCUUAACUCUGGACCAGCAAUGGAAACUGAGGAGCUAGAGUGCGGUAGGGGCAGAGGGAAUUCCCGGUGUAGCGGUGAAAUGCGUAGAUAUCGGGAAGAACACCAGUGGCGAAAGCGCUCUGCUGGGCCGCAACUGACACUCAUGGACGAAAGCUAGGGGAGCGAAAGGG
rnacentral:rRNA from 1 species